UUCAUAAUAUGCAAUAUCGAAAUAAUAAUAAUAUGGAAUAUCGAUAGAAAGUAAGCAAAACAUUUGGAUAAAAUUUAUAAAACCAACUAAAACAGUACCGAAACCAAAUACGUCCUUCAAGACUUUACAGUUUACAUGUAUGUACACCUUGAUUUGACUGAACUACGUACAAGGCUUUAAUCCAAGAGAUCGAAAACUUAUGAUCAAAGGCACAUCACAUAUGUAAGUAGGUGAAUAAUUAGAUAGGUUUCCAUGAUAUAUAUAUAUAUAUAUAUAGCGCUUCUCAGCUGCGGACGUCAGCAUUUAUUCUUACGGUGCGGAUUUCCACUUUACACUCACUUUUCAAUCGAAUUUUCACAUCUUCACCGUUUAGUAUUUAGAUACUAAUGUAUAAAUCAUCUCUGCAAAAUUUCAGCUAAUUUGGUUAUCAUUAAGGCACUCAAAACUGUGUUUUUUUGUUAUAAACAUGAACNNNNNNNNNNNNNNNNNNNNUUUUUGUUAUAAACAUGAACAGUUCAAGUUCUACAGAAUUAUGUUCAUCCACAGAAAAACGCAGUUUGAGUGCCUUAAUGAUAACUAAAUUGGCUGAAAUUUUGCAGAGAUGAUCUAUACAUUGGUAUUUAAAUACUAGACGGUGGAGAUGUGAAAAUUCGAUUGAAAAAUGAGUGUAAAGUAGAAAUCCGCACCGUAAGAAUAAAUGCGGACAUCCGUACCUGAGAAAAUCUGUGUAUAUAUAUAUAUAGCAUGUUCCUAUUAGCUAACGUUGUAGCGUAGCAUCGAUCAUGAAUUCAUGAUCAAUAAUUUUGGCAGAAGAUCAACAAUAACGGUCGGUCUUAUAUGCAGAAGGAGCUGGAAAGAUUCAUGUUGUUAAAUACUACCUGCAUUUUAGUUAUGAGCGAGCUCGAGUAUCCAGCAGUACGUAACUACGCAAGUACUGCAUGACGCAGACAGUAUUACGUAACUACGUACGUACUGCAUGACGCAGCAUAACAGUUUCCAAUUUCUACU
rnacentral:lncRNA from 1 species